GUGGGGGAUAUUGGACAAUGGGGGGAACCCUGAUCCAGCGAUGCCGCGUGAGGGAAGAAGGUUUUCGGAUUGUAAACCUCUGUGGACAGGGACGAUAAUGACGGUACCUGUCAAGAAAGCCACGGCUAACUACGUGCCAGCAGCCGCGGUAAUACGUAGGUGGCGAGCGUUGUCCGGAAUUACUGGGUGUAAAGGGAGUGUAGGCGGGAAGGCAAGUCAGAAGUGAAAAUUAUGGGCUCAACCCAUAACCUGCUUUUGAAACUGUUUUUCUUGAGUGAAGCAGAGGCAAGCGGAAUUCCUAGUGUAGCGGUGAAAUGCGUAGAUAUUAGGAGGAACACCAGUGGCGAAGGCGGCUUGCUGGGCUUUUACUGACGCUGAGGCUCGAAAGCGUGGGGAGCAAACAGGAUUAGAAACCCUUGUAGUCC
rnacentral:rRNA from 1 species